UAAUACCUCAAUUUUGCCCGGCCCAUUGGAAGCCAAGGCAUAAUCCAAAAUUUCAAAAUAUAAAGUCUCUUAACAGUCCUUUAGCCAAAUACAAAAGCCUAAACGGCAGACCCAAAUACAAGAGACCUUACCCUGUUACAAUAACCAGCAGGCCCACUAUUACAUCCUACCCAGAUACACUAAAACUAAGACCCAUUACAACAGACCCAAGUGGACCCAGGACAAAACGGGCCCAAGUGGCCCAGUUUGUUACACCAAGGCAUGAAACCCUAGGGUUUCUGCCUUUCUCCUUGCGCCGCAAACAGAAGGUUCCAGAAGCCAAGCCUCAUGACUCUUCAGCUCCUACUGUUCUAGCUACCCCGUCAAGGUCAUGAUUCUAGGCCCAAGUCACGCCGAGAUCAACGCCACCAGUGGACCAUCGUCAGGCCUUUGUCAUUGCCGGAUUUUUCGCAAGUACCUGCAAGAAAAGGAAAGAAAAUCACAGCACACAUGCGAAGCAAAUACGGAAAGAAAUCGAAGAUUUCUUUCCAAAACUUGUAGUAGUAGAGGCUAUAAAGCCUUCUUUUUAAUCUAUAAAAAC
rnacentral:lncRNA from 1 species